UUGUCCUACGGGGGGCAGCAGUGAGGAAUAUUGGUCAAUGGGCGGGAGCCUGAACCAGCCAAGUCGCGUGAGGGAAGACGGUCCUACGGAUUGUAAACCUCUUUUGCCGGGGAGCAACGGGGUCCUUGCGGGGUCCCAAUGAGAGUACCCGGAGAAAAAGCAUCGGCUAACUCCGUGCCAGCAGCCGCGGUAAUACGGAGGAUCCGAGCGUUAUCCGGAUUUAUUGGGUUUAAAGGGAGCGUAGAUGGGUUGUUAAGUCAGUUGUGAAAGUUUGCGGCUCAACCGUAAAAUUGCAAUUGAUACUG
rnacentral:rRNA from 1 species